rnacentral:rRNA from 1 species
GACGUAGGAAGCAAGCGUUGUCCGGAAUGACUGGGCGUAAAGGGUGCGUAGGCGGUCUUUUAAGUCUGAUGUGAAAUCCUGUGGCUUAACCAUAGAACUGCAUCAGAUACUGGGGGACUGGAGUGCGGAAGAGGUUGACGGAAUUACUAGUGUAGCGGUAGAAUGCGUAGAUAUUAGUAAGAAGACCGGAGGCGAAGGCGGUCUACUGGGACGUAACUGACGCUGAGGCACGAAAGCGUGGGGAGCAAACAGG